UCCGGCCGGGAACUCAAAGGAGACUGCCAGUGAUAAACUGGAGGAAGGUGGGGAUGACGUCAAGUCAUCAUGGCCCUUACGACCAGGGCUACACACGUGCUACAAUGGCGCAUACAAAGAGCAGCGACCUCGAGAGAGCAAGCGGACCUCAUAACGUGCGUCGUAGUCCGGAUUGGAGUCUGCAACUCGACUCCAUGAAGUCGGAAUCGCUAGUAAUCGUGGAUCAGAAUGCCACGGUGAAUACGUUCCCGGGCC
rnacentral:rRNA from 1 species